rnacentral:rRNA from 1 species
AUAGCUGAUUGCACCAACAAAUAGUUGAUGCAAUAUUGACUCUGUCAAAUAAAAUUCUAGGUAGAAUUAUGAUAAUGACAUUGUCUGCCUAUAUGUCUUGACCAAAUUACGUGCCAGCAGUCGCGGUAAUACGUAGAAGACUAGUGUUAUUCAUCUUUAAUAGGUUUAAAGGGUACCUAGACGGUAAAUCAAGCCUUCACAGGGACUAAUUUACUAGAGUUACUUACGAGGGGGUAUUAAAGUACUGCAGGUGUAGAGAUGAAAUUCUGUCAUACCUCUUUUCAAAAGAAAAAUUAUGGCACAGGUAUAGGUGAAAGCAUCCCCUUAUGUGAUAACUGACGUUGAAGGACGAAGGCUUUGUGUCGCGAACAGGAUUAGAUACCCCAGUAGUCAAAGCAGAAAAUGAUGAAUGUCAUAGAUUAGAUAAAUAGUUUAUUCUAUAAAUGAAAAUGUAAGCAUUCCACCUCAAGAGUAAUUUGGCAACAUUGGAACUGAAAUCAUUAGACCGUUUCUGAAACCAGUAGUGAAGUAUGUUGUUUAAUUUGAUGAUCCGCAAAAAACCUUACCACAAUUUGAAUAUUUAUAUCUAUCUUUUUUUUUCAUAAAAAAAUAAAAAGGUAAUAUAUUUACAAGCGUUGCACGGCUGUCUUCAGUUAAUGUCGCGAGACUUUGGUUAGUUCCAUUAAAUUAACGUAAACCCUUACUUUAUUUUUAUAUGAAGUAGUUCCCCGCUAUAUUGGAUAUGAUAACA